rnacentral:rRNA from 1 species
GAUGAACGCUGGCGGCGUGCCUAAUACAUGCAAGUCGAGCGAACAGACGAGGAGCUUGCUCCUCUGACGUUAGCGGCGGACGGGUGAGUAACACGUGGAUAACCUACCUAUAAGACUGGGAUAACUUCGGGAAACCGGAGCUAAUACCGGAUAAUUUAUUGAACCGCAUGGUUCAAUAGUGAAAGACGGUUUUGCUGUCACUUAUAGAUGGAUCCGCGCCGCAUUAGCUAGUUGGUAAGGUAACGGCUUACCAAGGCAACGAUGCGUAGCCGACCUGAGAGGGUGAUCAGCCACACUGGAACUGAGACACGGUCCAGACUCCUACGGGAGGCAGCAGUGGGGAAUCUUCCGCAAUGGGCGCAAGCCUGACGGAGCAACGCCGCGUGAGUGAUGAAGGUCUUCGGAUCGUAAAGCUCUGUUGUUAGGAAAGAACAAAUGUGUAAGUAACUAUGCACGUCUUGACGGUACCUAAUCAGAAAGCCACGGCUAACUACGUG